UGAUAUAAUAAAGAUAACACAAGCACUUUUUCAUUUUCCCCUUUUUGCAUGAUUAGUAAUACUGAUUUUUGAUAAAAAAAGUCUCAAAAAAAAAGAAGCAUAAGAGCAUAUAAAUAAAUACCUCAAAGCCAACCCAUGCAAUGAAGAGAAGCAUAGGCACAGCCAGUGAAUUGGUAAAUCUACUGUAAAGCUCAAGUUUGGCCAUGCUUCUCCCUAACUAAAACAACAUAUAAAGAGAACCAGCCCAAUGACAAACCAAAAAUGAUAAAUAAAAAAAUCUCAAAUAGGUAUAAAUACGAGGUAUAUCCCCUUGUAUAGGAUCAUCAAGAACAUAGGGUAAAAGCUAGAUCCGUUCAACUUCUUUUUUUUGAGCAAAAGGAGACUACUGC
rnacentral:lncRNA from 1 species